AUAACAAUCACUGUAGCUUUGACCAAUUCCCCCUAGGUUGUAAAGCUAGGGUUAAUAAGAAUUAGGCAAAGACUCAUAUUCUGCAAAAGGUUCAUUGUUGUUUAUUCAUGAGAGCUCUAAAGUCAACCAAAAUUCGAACAGUCUUUAUAACCUCCUCUAUGCACACACACACACACACACACACACACACACACACAGUUGUAUCACUUUUCUACCAGCCUUUGCAGUUUCUCGCCGUACUCUCCUCUCCUUCCUAGAUUAGAGAGGCCUUGGAAGGGCCCUCCUGUUGUCAGCUUUUUCAGAGUUAUCAUGUGUAGUCUACCAGCCUCUGUUUUCUCCACAUAUUUCUCCCUCUUAACUUGUCCCACACAUGUAUUAUUGGAAUAUAGUCUUAUAUGUUUCAGGGUGGAAUUCUUUAGUCAUUUCUUUAAACAUAUAAAUUCCCUUAUCAAUAGCCCAUCUGUAAAUAGCCCAUCCAACUACCUCAACCCCAUAUUGUUUUUUUUUCUUUUUCUCCUUUGCACCCCAGUAUCUCUACUUGCACAUUCAUCGUCUGCACAUGUCACUCCAGUGUUUAUUUGCGAAAUUGUAAUUAUUUCACCACUACGGCCUAUUUAUUGCCUUUCCUCCCUAAUCUUACUUCAUUUGCACACACUGUAUAUAGACUUUUGUAUUGUGUAUUGUGUUAUAUUUCUCAACUGCAUACAGUGGGGCAAAAAAGUAUUUAGUCAGCCACCAAUUGUGCAAGUUCUCCCACUUAAAAAGAUGAGAGAGGCCUGUAAUUUUCAUCAUAGGUACACUUCAACUACGACAGACUAUAACUAAUCAUAAUUCCAUUAUGUUUACAUAAAAAAGAGAAUACUUCAAAAUGAGAAGAUCCUGCCAUGGAAAAGACGACUACGUGGACAUAAAGUGUAAAGGAGGGGAAAUAACUCCCACCAUGCAGCAGGACACCUUCAGCUGUGGGGUCUUUGUAAUGCAGAGUUCAACAAAGCCAACAACUGCUUCAUGUGUGCCACUGAUAAAGAACCUGGAUGUGCCUCAAAGACUGACUGGACUGACUGUUUUACAUGCCAAUAGUGGUUCCAUGUGCUGUAACUAGGUAGGAAGACUAAAGAGUUCAACAGAGUAAAGAACACAAACUGGAAGUGCGGUCUUUGUUGUUGAAAAUGUAUGCUCUACCCCAUCCACACUGAAGAGGCUCUGACAUGUACAUCAACCAGAGUUAAUGUCUGCUCUACCCCAUCCACACUGAAGAGGCUCUGACAUGUACAUCAACCAGAGUUAAUGUCUGCUCUACCCCAUCCACACUGAAGAGGCUCUGACAUGUACAUCAACCAGGGUUAAUGUCUGCUCUACCCCAUCCACACUGAAGAGGCUCUGACAUGUACAUCAACCAGGGAUAAUGUCUGCUCUACCCCAUCCACACUGAAGAGGCUCUGACAUGUACAUCAACCAGGGUUAAUGUCUGCUCUACCCCAUCCACACUGAAGAGGCUCUG
ensembl:lncRNA